ACGUGAGCUCUUCCUAUCUCGAACCUCAUCCCUCCUAGAAAGGUUCUCGGAUUUUCCACCCAAUAAAAGAGAUCAUUUUCUGUAGUCUCAUAGCACCCGUAUAAUACUUCAGUGUGACACCGAGGACAUUGCUGCAGUGGUUCCUUUACCUGUUUUCUUCUCUUGCAUGAGAUGCUUUCAGUCCACCAAACACUCACAGGAUCCUUCUACGGGCCUGGCUUUGUGCUAGUGCAUGGGUUAUAGGGAUGGAUAAGGUGCAGUUCCCGCCUUCAGGAGGCUCACAGUCAAGGAGGGACAGACAGGUAUGGUACAGAAUUGUCCUGAGUAGAGAAAGGAGAUUCAUAUGAAAAAUACAGAGGAGAGGAUUCUUGUCCUUAACUGAGGAGAUAGGGAACAAGGAAAUGACCACAGAAGGUAGACUAUAAUUCCGGAGUCUAGCUCAGUGUGUGCAAGGGAGUAGGUACUUAUCUAUACUACAAAAAUGAAUUUUCUACUUCAUAGUCAUUAAGCACUUUUUAGGUGGCAAGCUUC